CUCGUAGGCGGUUUGUCGCGUCGGGAGUGAAAUCCAUUGGCUUAACUGGUGGCUUGCUUUCGAUACGGGCAGACUGGAGGUAUGCAGGGGAGAACGGAAUUCCUGGUGUAGCGGUGAAAUGCGCAGAUAUCAGGAGGAACACCGGUGGCGAAGGCGGUUUUCUGGGCAUGUCCUGACGCUGAGGAGCGAAAGUGUGGGGAGCAACA
rnacentral:rRNA from 1 species